ACAGGUUAAUGCAUACGGUUUUUAAUUUGAGUACCUCCACGUAGGAGAAGUUUGCAGCUGCCAGAAUGUAUAUAAAUUCAUCUCAAUUUAGUUGUUGGCUAGGCUUAAAUGAAGCCCUACAAAUGUUAAUGUUACGGGAUGUUAUAUGGAUUCACUAGGUAUCAUUUUCUCGUUAGAGGAAGAGAUUCUGAAUCUCUUGAAAUGGCCAUUUUAUCAUUUUCUGCUGAUCUUCGACAGUUGAUUCUACUCUCCUGGCAUAAUGUUUUACCCUGCGUAAACUAGUUCUGAGUUCCAACAAGAUCCUAUCAUGGAAAAUGCAGCAGUUGAGAAGAAAAGGGAAACUGACUGGUCUCUCGUAGUUAUAAGCAAGUAAUACAGAGAAAUGCUUUGUGAUCUUCUGGGGCGACCUUCACAAUACAAGCAUUUUCAAAUUUUUAAUAGAAAUGCUUCCAGUGACUUGUCUAUCAAUCUCUGUUUUUUUUAGUUCAAAUCCAAAAUGCCGUGCUAGUGGAAACUUGUGAUAUUUCGCCCUUGAAUUCGUAGUAUUUUGAAGUAUGACUUCCUGAGGGUUAGACAAGGACAACUUUUGUGUUCGAGUUUCUUGAAUUACAAUUCAUUAUUUUUCAAUUUAGGUCAGGUCCGAAAUGAGCUUGUUCUUAUGGUUCUUGCAAGAACCCAACAAUUAGCUUCUUGGAAAUUUAUAAAUGGUUUAUCGAGUGGA